AGCUGGCGGCAGCCUAACAAUGCAAGUCGAACGAAGUAGUAAUACUUAGUGGCAGACGGGUGAGUAACAUGUAGGUAUCUACCCUUUGGCCUGGAAUAACACGAGGAAACUUGUGCUAAUACCGGAUAAGUCUUUACGGAGAAAGCUUUAUGCACCAUUGGAUGAGCCUGCACUUGAUUAGUUUGUUGGUGGGGUAAUGGCCUACCAAGACUGUGAUCAAUAGCUGAUUUGAGAGGAUGAUCAGCCACAUUGGGACUGAGACACGGCCCAAACUCCUACGGGAGGCAGCAGUGGGGAAUCUUGCACAAUGGAGGAAACUCUGAUGCAGCGAUGCCGCGUGAGUGAAGAAGGCCUUUGGGUUGUAAAGCUCUUUCGUCGGGGAAGAAAAUGACUGUACCCGAAUAAGAAGGUCCGGCUAACUUCGUGCCAGCAGCCGCGGUAAUACGAAGGGACCUANCGUAGUUCGGAAUUACUGGG
rnacentral:rRNA from 1 species